AGAUACCCAUCAUCUUCUUCUCCAGAGACACCUGGCUUCUUGGGCACAAAAACUGCCUCUGAACCGUACCUGCCAGGUCCCAGGUCAUAUAUGCCUGUCACGUUUCCCCCAACUUCAAGCUGCUUCUUGCCACUUUCUGGUUCAGCGUGUAGGUCAAACUUUAUGAUGCCAGUCACCUUUGCUAUGCUGUCGAGCAUGGUGCAGUACACGUACCGCUGCUUUCUGCAUUCAACAGAAGUAACAGAUCAGGGAGAUUUGAUAGCUUCAGGACAAAAUCUUACUCUCUAAAUGAACGCGGUUUCUCAAUGAUGCUAAGUUGAUAGUUCUUAAGAAGAGGAACUUUGAAGUUGAAGGUUCAAACCUCCAGCAAAAUUCAGUACCUGCCAGUAUAGCUCUCGUUAAUUCGAGGAAAGUCUACGGCGGAGACAGACAGUUGCUUCUGUGAAGCAGCACCAGUUUUCAUGUUGAAUCGCAUCUCGUACCUAAAAAUAAUAACAUUAGGCCGAGCAUUGGAUUGUAUGGAAUUAGAAUAAAGUUGAGAUUGUAGGUAUAUACAGCUCGUUCCCAAAGUUCUCAAGCUUCUCGUUCUGGUGACCAUUCACCUUGUCCAAAUCUGGAUUCUCGAGGCGGCAGGUAAUUAGAAUAACUUCAUCGCCCUCUUCCCAAGCAUUAGCUGUGACAGGAGAUACUUCUUGUGAUUAGGUCACUAAGAUUAGUAUGAAAUGAAAUACUGAUGAUUAGAUCGUGUCCGUGUAAUGUAUGGAUUGCAACAAUCAGAUGACAUACUUCAACAGAAGGUUACGGAUGGCAUACCAUUGUGGAAAAUGAAGCAAUUGGGGAGUUCAAACCAUCUGAUAUUUUUCUCAUCCUUUUCAUACCGUUGGAGUAUACCGAAACGAGCUUUCUUUGUAGGAUCAAACUUGUAGAUGAAUUCACCAUUCUUCACCAUUUCCUUUAUACAAGAAUCCCAAACAACAAGAUUAGAUUACGACACAGAGAUUGAACCCUUUAUCAACUAAUGCAAACAUGUGCCUAUCUCAUGCAACUGUGAAGCAAAUGUUGACUAGGUCAUCCUUCAACAGCAGAAAAACAAAUGUACAAAGGCAUUUAUCAUUCAUGACAUUGCCUGUCAACCUGAAAUGCAUGAAACAUCAUGUACCUUUGGUCGAAACAACAAAGGCAGGUCCAUGAAUAUGGAAUAGUUCUCUGUGAUGGCAAAGUCAUGCAUCAUUACGGAUUCUGGUAUUGUAAUUGGCACAGGAUCAAGCAUAACUCCAUCCUUGGUUAUGACCCGGUAUGUACAAUAAGGAGGUUCAUGUGAGUACCCAAAGGUGAACAUUUCAUCUGAAAGAAGGAAAACUACAUCGUUUAACCCAAUUGUCCUAAAAGAAAUUAAGAAAUAGAACACAUUACCCUAAUAUACCUGUAAAUGGAUCAACCUUUGGAUGAGCAGUGAAAGAAUGUUUCAACCUUUUGUCAUAAUCCAACAACCCAAGAGUUUGCAGGUCACCAUCUUCAAGGACCUUAACAACGUCUGAAAACAAAAUAGAAACUCAUGUUAACAGUUGCAUACCUAUUGUCCUGGAUGUGGGAUUUGUGGAUGACAACAAGUUGCAACAAGCUGUAAUAAUUUACAAUCGUACAUGUAGAAUUUACUGGGACAAAACAUGAUAUGCAAUAAUUACUUAGAACAUAGUAUUUUAUAAUGGUCUCGAUGAAUGAAUUAAUUUAGCUUUUUUUACAUGAGACAGGUAUGUUUCUGCUCUAUUCUGGGAAAUAUAAAGGUUUCAUAGCAACUCAAAGAAUUAGCUGCCCACGCAACCACGCUUAAGGCCCCUAUUUCGAAUGGCAUACACACAUGCACAUAGAAAAAGAAUUGUGCAAACAGGCUGAGGACUUACAAGGUUUAUCUGCUUCCGACAGGGCCAUGAGUUUGCCAUGAUGGUAUACAAGUGCAGUAUUAGCUGGAAGAGAAGGAAAUGGAUCAAUAAAAUAAAUGGUACUACAAUAAAACUGCCAUGAAAAGAUAUGUAGAUGUAUAUCAUAUAGUGUCUGCAUAAGGGAAAGAAGUACCUGUCCCGAUUCCAUAAGUAGCAUCCAAAACUUUAAGCUUUUUCCUAAGUUCUUGCAUUUGGACCAUGAACAAUCCAAAAAAGCCUUUCAGGUCUCCAAUCUGUAAAAGUUGGAAAAAAGAUCACUUGGAUGCACCACUGAUUUUCAGAUAUAGCUACGAGGCCAUCACUAAACCUUCCAGUGGGCAGGGAAAGUUAUAGCUACGAGGCCAUCACUAAUACUUAGUGUUAAUGUUGUAAACCUACAUGCGAGCACAGGUAGAUUUGCGAGCACUAAAAGCAUACUGAAGAAAAUUAGGUUGGGCAUAAGAUUGGCUAUGCCAUUAAGAACUAAUCUGAUCAGAGAGCUUCCCCAAACAAAAAUGAUGGGAUUAAGUCAGAGGUAUGCGUGGUAUAUAUUAGAUCUUAAUUAACUGGGAAGAAAAAUCCCAAGCAUCAAUAGGAAAAACAGAGCUAAAAACAUAUUCAAGUUUUUGGAUCAAAUAAGAAACUUACCUUCAUAAACUUUGCUCCCCCAAAAUACUCUUCUUGCUUGAGGCGAGAAGUUUUCACGUAUCUUGAUACAUAUGUAGCUUUCCCAUCUUUAAUACGCAUUGCAUGGAUCAUUCUGUCAGAAACAAUGUAGAGGUUGAUGUAAAAGUGAACCAUACUAUAGCAUAUUUGCAGCUAAGAUCAUUUUCUGCAGAUACCCAAAAAAGUUCGAAACGUAGAUGAAAACUUGAUUUUGUAUCAAAAAGCUUGAGCUAGUAUUGCAAUCUUGAUUUAGAGAUAAUAAUGCUGAAGUUUGUGUUAGACCGUCGUCUGUAGCGUGGCAAAUGUGGCCAUCGAACAGAAAAAUAAGUGGUACGGAAAAAAGUUCUUAAAAAGUACACUUCUUUCUAUAUAAAGCCGGGCGAAUGCCUUUUCUCUAAAAAACAGUUCUUAAAACAGGACAAAAUGAAUGUACAACACUAAGCUAGAUCUGCAGUAUUCCAAACAGAAGAGAUUGCAUCACAUACCCAUCUCCGUCAAACCUGCAAAACAGAAAAGCAAAAUAAAAAAUUAAUUAAAAAAUGAUGCUACAUUAUUGGAAGCAAAAGAUGUGACGAUGAGCACUUGAUUUACAAAAAAAUUCAGUACGACUACUACAGUUAAAUUGUGUGCAUCAAAGUAGAUGUGGAUAACUGUAGUCCCUCUGUUGAAUGAGGAUAACAGUCGGUGUUUAUGCCCUUAGGACCACAUAGGGAUGUUGACGAGUUUGCUGGGAACUGGUGAAGACCAGAAUCAUGUCUAUAUGACAAAGGUAAAUUUCAUCAAGAGUCAAUACCAGUGAUAGCCUGCAACAGGGACAAACUUGGGAUUAGGGCCCACCCUGACAAACUCUCCAUUCAAGCACUCCUGUAGAUAGCAAAAAAGGAACACUAUAAAAAAAGGGCAGCCCGGUGCACGUCAAAAAAGGAACACUAUGAGGAAAAGAAAAAGGAUAAUCUAGCAGGGGCUGCAAGAAUUCGUAAGAAAAAAAGAGAAAUUCUUGAAGGAAGUGAUGAAUAACCAGUUCCUCGAAGGAUAGUGUAUUUUAUUAUUUUUGCAAAUUAGCAUAUAGGUUGUUCUUAUAGAAUGCUGGAAACAGAUGUAAUUUGCACCUAAAAGAAGUUUGAUCAAAAGGCCAGAUCCUGGCCUACCAGACAUAGGUUGAAUGAGCCAGUGAAGAUAAAGAGUAAUGAAUAAGAGAACAAAGUAUACGAUAUUUUGGCCACAACAAAAAAUGUAAAUAUACUAGCAGACAGAGAUAAGGACAUAAGGUAAGACUAAAAGAUAUUUUGGUCACAAUAAAAAAUAUAAAUAUGCAUGCAGACACGUUGGUAGCUAUCCUAGUAUUUCAAUUUUCACAAUGGGCCGAGGUAAACAAUAGUUUCCCCAAUAAUGAGGUAAACAAGUUGUAGCUUGAGUUAUUCUAGAGAUCCCAGAGAAGACCGUGAUAAUUCCUUGUGAUGGUGGCACCAUAUAUCCAUAUUAUUACACAGAGACUAUUUUGUGACUUCCUUGAUUCCUUCGAGAGAUGAAACGAGGAAAAGCAAUAACAAUAAUCAGGAUGCAAAAAGAUACUAGGAGGGGAGAAAAAGAGGGAUAAAAGGUGAGCAGUACUAAUCAGCAAUGUCCUGUAAAUAAAACCAAGGUUUUUGACAUGCAAGGGAGAAGGAAAGGUUCUCCUCCUAUUCAUCCAGGACGACAGACUGAACUUUUUUAAACGCACAUAUUUGCCGGGUAGUAGUAAAAUACUGUAGUAACAAGGUGUCAUGCCAAGAGGCAUUAAUUUGAGGUAUCUACUCCUGGGGUUGACUAGAAAGGUGUAUUUGUCGACUCCUGACUUGCUGAGCAAAAUAUUUUUAAUUCCAAUCUUCCACGGUUGACUAACGAUGUUAGUGUUUGGUAGUAUCAUCUCAAGUUGUGCACUGGAUGGAGGGUUUGGACUUUGGAACUCCGAAUUCAGAUAAGGGUUUACAGAGAAGCCAUAGAAUUUCGGUUUACAGUUGAGCACCGUGAAACAAAAAUCAUCUAUUUUUUGACGGCAGAAACGUGAGAGUAGCAGAGAUUAGAUUAGCAGAGAGAAGGGGAAGGACAAGGGGGUUGCAGUGCAGACCGGGAGGUGUCCCCGGACGGGGAGGUCGGGCGCCGGCGGGGUCUCGUCGACGACGGGGGCGAAGUUGCCGGAGAGCCAGUGGAGCGGCUGGGUCUUGUCAUGGCCGAGGCGGACGGCGAGGCGCUCCAGCAGGUCCACCGCCCACGAGGCCACCCCCUUGCGCGGCCUAGGCGCCGGCGCCACCACCAGGCUCUUGGGGAUAUCCUCCGCUGCCGCCGCCGCCGCUUCUCCCAUGGCCGCCCUCCUCUUCGCGCGCUAUCGAAAUUGUUGGUUUGGCGGGGCGGGGGGAUCUGGUAUGGGAGGCUGGGCGGAGAUGCUCAACGCAUUUGGUCUUGGCAGUUUCGUAUGAGCCACCCACAUCCACACCGGACGACAGGACAGGAGAGGAGAGACGGCAGCAGCAAGAGCAAUGGUGUGUGUGUGGCAGUGACAGAUACAGCAACGCAGCGCCUGGUUUUGGUGACAUCCACAUCUUUUACACCUGGCCUGAAAUUCAUCGUCUACGAUGUCACUGAUUUAGUACAAAAUUACAAAUUACACAUGUACUACUAAGUCAGCUACGUUUAUUAUGGAUAGGAGGAAUUAGCUGUUUAUCGAGUAGAAAUGUGCACAAUCUGCUGACUUGCGUAGCGGGCCGAAACUGCUUAAACAGUAAGAUUUGAUAGCGUGUGGUUUUGGUGAGUAGUGUAGUCAGUUGAUCCACACACCUUUCACAGUUUACACUAGGCACCGUCCAGAUUAACCGUUUUCAGUGGAAAUCGUAAUUUUUGACAUUCGAAACCCGACAGGCACCAUGAUAUAUCAUGCUUAAGAAUAAUUAAGAAGAAGAAAUAGGCGGCAGAGCACUCAUGCUGGUGGACGUACGCAGCCAAUUAACAUGAAUUGAGGGAAAAGAUGAAGCAAUCUUUUAUUUCUUCCUUUUGCUGGAAACAUGAAUGUUCUGUGGGCAGUAGACUAGUUCCAAAUCCAUCUGGAUAUUUAUCAGACCAGAAUAUUACAUAUAAAAUGUACGUGUAUUCUAAGUGGGGAACGUGCCCCACCUCGCCUUACACAACGGCGCGCUUUGAGAUUGGUGAAAACUGAAUCGUGCGACCCAGGCUCCGCCCGUGUUCCCUGCCCCCGAUCCUCUCUCAUCCCCAUCUUUUCCUUUCUUCUUCAUUCCGCCGACGCCACCAGCCCCAACUCAGAUCCCGGUCAACUCCCUCCCUCCCCACGGGCCACGGCUACCGUCCGGCUCGCCGCUCCUCUCUCACUUCCACCGCCGCUGCACCAUUCCCCUGCAUCCAGCGUCGCUGCUUUGCCCGUUGGUCCCCCUAUCCCCCAGAUCAAGCGCACAGCAACAGCAGGGAGAGGACGGCAGUGGGGGAGUGGCGCGAGAGCAAGACGAGGUGGACCGCCGCCAUCUCCGCCCCUUCGCAAGUACGUCUCUUCGUCGCCUCACUGUCCAACCCCUCCUCCUCCUCAUGCCUCGACGCCGUCCGUGCAGAUCCCCACGAGACAUCUCCCUCUCUUCUACUUGCCUCCAGCGUCUCAUGUGAACUCCUCAGGCCCGCCACGGCUGUGCCGCAAUCCACAGCGCGUAAAGGUCAAGGACUGGCGGUCGGCGCCUCCUCGUCUUGGCAGCCGUCUUCGCCGUGAUGGAUGCCUCUGGGUCAGCCAAGGCCCUCUAGUCUGCACUGCAGCACCAACAGAUGUGUUCCCUCCUCAUCUGCAGCCUCCCCUAUGUAUCUGUGACCUGACCGUGAUUUUGAUUUUGUCCCCCCAUGUGCCUUGCUGAAUCUGUACCUUCCAUGAAAAUUAAGUAUUUCACGAUGCAUGUGCUCACCAGGAGGAAGGAGAAGAAGAGGGGUGACAACAUGGCACUCAUAUUCGCUGGCCUUCAAGCUUUUGUGGACGACACUACUACGUUGCUUGCUGAUUGCGUAUCGGUGAAUGUACAUAUAUGUCUACCCUAUUUAUAGUCUAUUCUUCUCAAAGGAAACAAAACGAGAAGUCUGAUUGGAGAUAUCACCGUGUUGUGUGGUCACCAGGUUCUCUUGAUUUGCGAAAGCUAGGCCCCGUUGUUGUCCAUGACAAGCCAUUUUACUGUGAAAUCGUCAUAAUGUCAAGGUUAGCUCCCUACCAUCUCUCCCAUGUUUAUUUUGUGUCUACUAGUUUUGAUGCAAUUCACGCAAUGCUCAAAUGUUUGAUGAAUCAGUCUAUCCAAUUUUUUUCAUGAGAAGAACUCCUGAUCAUGGUAACCUAACCCAAAGAACCUGGUAGCUACUUGCAGAGAAUCUGGCAGGUGUUUGGAAAGAACCUGGUAGCUAUAGCGGAAAACCUGGUAUCUCUAUUUUUCAGAAAACCUGGUGUCUAUGUAGGAAAACAUUGUAGUUGUUUGUGAAGCACUUGGUAGUUGUUUCAAAAGAACCCGGAAAUUUUUUGGUAGCUUUACAAGAUAGCUUUGCAUGUUUAUUCAUCGUCAUAUUCUGAACAACUUGGUACUAGUUGUUUGUAAAGAACCUUGUAGGAUUUGUAAACAACAUGGUAGUUAUUUGGACAAAAAGCAGGUAGCUAUUUCCGAAAAAACUUGGUAGCUAUGCGGAAAGAACAUGGCACGUGUAUGAAACCCGAUAGCUAAUUGGAAACAACCCGGUAGUUGUUUAGAAAGAACAUGGUAGCUGUUUAGAAAGAACCUGGCAGCUAUAUGGAAAAACUGGUGGAUAUAUCUGAAAACACGGUAGUUGUUUGUGAAGAAGUUAUUUGUAAAUUAAGAACUUGUCAAUUCGUUUUCUAAAUAACCUGGCAAUUGUUUGCAAAGAACAUGGCAAUUGUUUGUAAAAAAAUCUGGCAAUUUAUUUUCUAAAUAACCUGGCAAUUAAUUAUUUUGUAGAGAACGUGGCAAUUUGUUUCUAAUCAACCUGACAUUUGUUUGCAAGGAACCUGGCAACUAUUUGUGUAUAACCUAGCGAUUGUUUGGAAAGAACCUGGCAAUUUGUUUGUGAAGAAUUUGAUUCUAAUCAACCUGGCAAUUUAUUACGAACAACAUGGCAAUUGUUUGUAAAGAACCCAACAAUCUGGCAAUUGCUUGCAAGGAACCUGGCAACUAUUUGUAAAUAACCUGGCCGUUGUUUGGAGAGAACCUGGCAAAAAAAAUUUGUGAAGAAUUUGAUUCUAAUAAACCUAUCUAUUUUUUUACAAAGAACCUGGCAAUUGUUAUAAAGAACGUGGUAUUUGUUUAUAAAGAACCUGGUAAUUGUUUAGAAAGAUCCGUGUAGCUGUUUGUAUAGUUCAUUUCUCUUAGUCUUCCUCUUUUAUUGUUAUCAAUAGUGAGAAAUAUAUGUGUUCAUAUUCAUUUCUCAACAUGAGUAGCAGUCGAUCAGCGUCGGUUUCAAAGAAGUGAUGUUCCUGUCUUGUUGGGUCAAGACAAGCUGGUAGGCAGCAAUGGUCGGCCGGUCAAUGACUCGGGGAGGUGAAUGAGGAGCUAGAUCAGCAACCUCGGCAACAUACUGUGGUGGAUGAAGAAGAUUUUCGUGGCAACAAAGAGUUCAAAGAAAAUGCGUUUCGUUUGCCUCCACAAAAAUGCUCAUAUGCAAACUUGUAAAUUUGGCUCCAUGAUGUCUGAUAAAGUGGUGCUGCAAUUUUCAGUUUUAAAGGCUAAAUAUUUGAUGGUUUUAGAAGACGUUGUGCUUAUUAUAAUGUUGUCGUAUACAUGUGUGUGUGCCUAUACGAUGUAUGAGUCGUCUAUUUUUCUUGCUGGAAAAAAUUAACUAGUUUUAAAAAGAAAUGGAUGAGGAAGAGAUGCAUGCAAGGACCAGAAAUGGCCCAGUAAACAUUUGUUGUGCACAUGCCGUCUCUGCAAGACAAGCCUAACUGCCUAAGCUGGAGCACAUGGGCCGUACAUGCUACAACCUACGAAGGCUGGCGGAGGCUUUCGCGCGGCAGCAUGGCAGGCGCCGCUUGCGAGCCUUACGUGGGGCCACGCCGCUCCUUAGUCAGCUUCUAAAAUGUAUACUACUCCUCCGUCGAACGAAAGAUGUCUCAGCUUUGGCUAAAUUUAAAUGCAUCUAUACACUAAGUCAUGUUUAGAUACAUCCAAAUUUUGAUAAACUUAAGACAUCUUUUAUUGGACGGAUGGAGUACUGUAUAUAUGUACUUGAACGUAUGUACAUCUCCUUCUACGUAGUACACGUAUUUGAGGGCGUAUACCAAUUUACCUCCUAUACAGAACAUGCAAUUUAUUAUUUUUUCCAACGUGUGUAGGCAGAAUAUAUAUGCAUGCAGAUCCAGUUCGUUCUGGGUUCACUCCGUUGCUUGUCGUCCCAGUUGUUCCUGUCAAAACAAAAACCAGGUUUAUUUACUUUCUCAUUUCUCACAUACCAACUUACUAUUUUCGUUACCAAUUGCAAAUUGCAAAUAGUAGCUACCAAUUAAAUUUUUAUAUACGAGCUUGAUCGAUAAAAAAAACGGAACAUUUCAUUACCUCGUUAACAAAGAAGGCAUGGAAUCCGUAAGGAACCCGGUUCGGCAGCUCAACAACUGCUACUGGAUCAGCUGACAUUGUCUUGGCAUCAAUCACAUUGACUUCAGAUUUCCUGCAUCCACAACAUAAGAAACGACAGAUUAAAGCUCCAAAUUUGGGUAGAGCAACUUUUUUAUGAAACUUCUUAAGCAUCGCACCAGCACAGCGCUAUGCAGAAAAAUAAGAAGGGAAUGAAGAGUACCCUGUGUUCUCGUCAUGGACGAAGAAUAUCAGAUAGCCAUCAUCUUCUUCUCCAGAGACACCUGGCUCCUUGGGCACAAAAACUGCCUCUGAACCGUACCUGCCAGGUCCCAGGUCAUAUAUGCCUCUCACGUUCCCCCCAACUUCAAGCUGCUUCUUGCCACUCUCUGCUUCAGCGUGUAGGUCAAACUUUAUGAUGCCAGUCACCUUCGCUAUGCUGUCGAGCACGGUGCAGUACACGUACCGCUGCUUUCUU
rnacentral:lncRNA from 1 species